rnacentral:rRNA from 1 species
AUCAACUUUCGAUGGUAGGAUAGAGGCCUACCAUGGUGGUAACGGGUAACGGGGUGUUAGGGCACGACACCGGAGAGGGAGCCUGAGAAACGGCUACCACAUCCAAGGAUGGCAGCAGGCGCGCAAAUUACCCAAUCCCGACACGGGGAGGUAGUGACAAUAAAUAACAAUACGGGGUUCUUUCGGAUCUCGUAAUUGGAAUGAGUACAAUUUAAAUCUCUUAACGAGGAACAAUUGGAGGGCAAGUCUGGUGCCAGCAGCCGCGGUAAUUCCAGCUCCAAUAGCGUAUAUUAAAGUUGUUGCAGUUAAAAAGCUCGUAGUUGAAUUUCGGGAUCAAUAUGUCGGUCGUGCUUCGGUACGUACUUGCAUUAUUGGUUUCUCCCUUCUGAAGAACCAUGAUGUCAUUAAUUUGGUGUCUUGGGGAAUCAGGACUGUUACUUUGAAAAAAUUAGAGUGUUUAAAGCAGGCUCACGCUUGAAUACAUUAGCAUGGAAUAAUGAAAUAGGACGUUUGAUUCUAUUUUGUUGGUUUCUAGGAUCGACGUAAUGAUUAAUAGGGAUAGUUGGGGGCAUUAGUAUUCAAUUGUCAGAGGUGAAAUUCUUGGAUUUAUUGAAGACUAACUACUGCGAAAGCAUUUGCCAAGGAUGUUUUCAUUAAUCAAGAACGAAAGUUAGGGGAUCGAAGACGAUCAGAUACCGUCGUAGUCUUAACCAUAAACUAUGCCGACUAGGGAUCGGAUGAUGUUAAUUUUUUAAUGACUCAUUCGGCGCCUUACGGGAAACCAAGGUGUUUGGGUUC